rnacentral:lncRNA from 1 species
CUAGACAUCAUCAGCCGUUUUUUAAAAGGAAAAAGAACUAAAAAAUGAAAAAAGCUCUUCUUCUUCAUGAAGAUUGAACAAAAUGCAGAACCCUAGUCUUCUUCUUCAUGGCAACAACGGAAACCUGAAGAUCAGGCCUGAACCAAAAACGACCCAUCCCCACCAUCUUCUUCAGUGAGCAAAAACGCCUAAGUCUAGGAAUCAGACGCAAUAACACAAAAAAUCAGGUCCCCCACAUUGAUCUUCUUCUGCUCGAAUAUAAACAACCAUUUUAAACUUUCCUAUACAAAAAAGAAUAGCCAUAUUCGAUGAGUUGUUCCAUCGGUUUUUUUAUCAAAAAAAGCUUCUUCUUCUUGCUGGAAAACGCAGCAACAUAACCAUGAAAUACAAUCUAGAAAACCCAUCUAAACAAGUAGAGUUCGAGUCAGGAUAGUCGAGCCGAGCAACAAAACUCUGUCGAAAUCCGGUGGAGCUUCUCGUGGAGGUUCUGUUCGAGGUCUCUGAUCGAUGGCUCGAUUUUGGACUUUUGGUUCGAAAUUUUUCUUUUAGUUCAUUUCAUUGUCAAUCCCGUCAGUUUGAGGUUAAUUUCCUCCCCUUUCUUUUUUUGUGUUCUUACGUUUUUGUAUCUAGUCACACCAGUUGGUUUUGAUGGAUUUAAUGCAACUUUACAUCUUGGCCUUACAUGAUUAAUAUGUGAUUGGACCUAGUAUUUUCCUGAAGGAAGACAUAUAGUUAGUAAUUCUUAUUGUAGGAUUUGCUAAGUAAAAGAUGUUGGGGAAGCAGUGGUUUGGGGCUAGAAAAUGAAAUCUAAGUUUCAGAUUAUUAUUUUUCGUAAUAGGAUUUUCUUUAGUUGAGCUAUAGUUUAAAUUGAUAUUUUUAUCUCAAUGUUAGGAGCAUGUUAGGCCGACCAUACCUGGGUAGGCGAACCUUUAGGCAUGUAAUUAAAUCAUCACAACAACGGGUAUGCUUCCCAUGGCGUGGUUGUGAUACUUAAUUUCAAAUUAGUUGUAAAAAUGAAUAUCCGUAGUUCACUUAGUUGAAUGCCUUUACUUUAAUAAAAUCUAGGUGCGCCAUACGCAAACAAAAUCCAUAAUCUAUGUCCCUCAUAUUAAUUAUCUUAACUAGUGUAAAAAAUGCCUUGAACUUUCGGAGUUUGAUUUAGGCGCGUUAAUUAAAUAAUUGUCAUGGCUACGGGUACGACUCUCGUGACAUAGUUGUGAUGCUUAAUUUCUAAAAUCCUAGGGUACAUUUAUGUGACCCAACAACAAUUUAAUUUUGUUAAUAAAACAAACAUGUUGUAGAUCGUGGGUGCGGUUCCCGUGACAUGAUUCGCUAUGUAUAGUCAAAUAAUUAGUUGAUGUGACGACCUGUCCAGUCGUCUUAAGAAUUAACGCCCUGAUCCCCUAUUAACUACUUUCCCCAAGUUUAUUUAUGUUAUUUCUAUUUGUCGGGAUGUCCAGUUUUGAGUUUCGGAGAGUUUUGGGACACUUAGUCCCUAAAUGAGAGCUAAAGUGUUGGAAAGUUGAACGUAGUUGGAACAGUGUGAAGACGGCCUCGGAAUUGAAAUACAAUGGUUUUGUUAGCUCCGUUGGGUGAUUUCGGGGUUAGGAGCUUGUUUGAAGUGUGUCUUGGAGGUCCGUAGCUAAUUUAGGCUUGAAAUGCCGGAAGUUGAGUUUUUGAAGUUUGUGGUUCGAUAGUGAGAUUCUAAUUCAAGGAUCGGAAUGGAAUUACGAGAGUUGUAGUAGUUCCGUCAUGUCAUUUGGGAUAUGUAUACAAAAUUUCAGUUCAUUCGGACGAGGUUUGGUAGACUUUUUGAUCGAAAGUGUGUUUUACAGUUUUUGGAAAUUUUAAGCUUGAAUCCGAUGAAAAAUAAGUGUUUUGAUGUCGUUUUGAGCAUUUCGAAGGUUGGAACAAAUUUGGAUGUGGUUUUAGGAUUGGUUGGCAGGUUGGGUUGAGGUCCCGGGGGCCUCGGGUGUGUUUCGGAUGCUCAACGGGUCAUUUUUGAAACUUAGGAAAUUGCAGAAAAAAUUGCAACAGUCAGUUCUGGUUUCCUUCUUCGCGUUCACGAGUGGGUUCUCGUGUUCUCGAAGUGGAGCUUGGAUUAGGGGAAAAUUUGGCCUUCGCAUUCGCGAUAGGGCCUUCGCGUUCGCAAAGAACUGGAUGGUUGUGCUAUGCAUUCGCGAUUGGGCUUAGCGUUCGUUGAAGAGGAAUUGGCCCAAAGGAGUUUUGUGUAUCGCAUUCGCGUGAUGCCCGUCGCGUUUGCGAAGGUUCGUCUGUGCAAGGCAUCACGUUCGCGAAGUAAAGGACGCGUUCGCGAAUAAGGAAAAAUGGUCAAAGUUAUUUUGUGCUUCGCGAAUGCGAGGCUUUGACCGCGUUCGCGAAGAAGGAAUUUUCUGGGCAGAUAUAAGAUUUCAAAAUCGAUGGUUUGGCCAUAUUUAUCAAAACUUAAGCAUGGGAGCUCGGAUUUUGAGCGAAAUUUUGAGGGAUUUUCAGAGGUAUCGAUUGGGUAACGAUUCUUAUCUCAUUUUUGCUUGUAACCCAUUAAUCUAAACAUGAAUUCAUCCUUUAAUUUCGGAAUUUGUAUGAAAAUUGGGGAAAAAAGUUCUUAGGCCAAGAAAUUGAGUUUUGAUUGGGGAUUUGACAUCGGAUUUAAAUAAUUUUUGUAUGAUUAGACUCGUGAGAGUGUGAGUAUUAUGAAACUAUAAAUUUUAUCCAAUUCCGAGACGCUGGUCCGAGGGGCGUUUUGGUCCUUUUACAUAAUUUCGCAUAUUAGCUUAGAAUUUAAUUAUAGAAUCAGUUACUUGAAGUGUUAUUUACAUUAUUCAAUUGAAUUGAAUAGAUUUGGGCCAUUUGGAGUCGAGUACUCGUGGCAAAGAUGUGGUGUUGGGUUGAUUUUGAGCCGGUUCGAGGUAAAUGGCUUGUCUAACCUUGUGUGGGGGACCUUCCCCAUAGGAUUGGUAUAUUUGGUAAUUUAAAUGCCUUGUACGUGAGGUGACGAGUGAGUACUUGUGCUAAUUGUUGGAAACCCGAUUUUCUUUAAGUACUUACUAGUAUGUUUUCUUUCCUGUUUCUAUUACUUGCAUUAUUAAGCAUGUUGUUAGCUUAGGAAAGCAUGUCUAAGUGACUUAAUUGCUUCAUUUGAUUUAACCUGCCUUACUUGAAUUAUGUGCAGCAUGUUAGGCUAGAAUCACUUAUUGCCUUAAUAUGAAUUUUGCUAUUUAUGUUUAUCUUCCUACUGCUGCUGUGUAUUUAUUUUGGGACUACGGAUGUGGAAUUCCGGUAGCUCCACCUUGUCUAUUUACUUUGGGACUACGCGUUAGAUUCCCGGUAGAUCCCCCUGCACAUUUACUUUGGGACUAUGGGUUAGAUUCCCGGUAGAUCCCCCUGCAUAGUUAUAUAGAACUACGGGAAUGCACCCGGUAGAUUCCCCCAGUACUGGGUAUUUACAUUUGGGAUUACAGAUUGUGAUUCCGGUAGAUCCCCAUGCAUCGAUAGUUGGACUACGGGACAGGAUCCCGGGAGAUCCUUCGGACAUAUAUAUGAUGGACUACGGGACGGUAUCCCGGGAGAUCUACUGGACAGUUGUAAUUGGGACUACAGGACGGUAUCCUAGAAGGUGCCCCGAUUGUUAUCUCUGUAUCGAGCUGUAUUUUUUUCUGUGGCUUGUUUUGUCUCUGUUCUAUUUGUUGUUCUGUCAAUUCUAUGUUAUUUCUUACUGUUGCACUUAUUUAUACUGUUUUAUUCCACAUUGUUAACCCUUAUAUUGUAUUUAACCUCAGUAGGGCCAUGACCUUCCUCGUCACUACCCAACCAAGGUUAGGCUUGGUACUUACUAAGUACAAAUGUCGUGUACUCAUGCCUCUUCUGCGCAUGUUUUUCAUGUGCAGAUCCAGGUACUUCUACUCAGGCCUACCAUCCUUGAGGUAAGUGACUACUUAGAUACUUUGAGGUACAUCUUUCGCGUCCGCAGAUCGAGGAGUCCCUUUGUAUUCCUGCCCUUUUUUUGUAUUUAGCCCUUAUGUACUUUCUGUUCUUAUUAGACAGAUUCCGGAGUUAGAGCUAUGUAGUAUUUCCUUUUCUUAGCUUGUGAUUCGUGGGUUUCCGGGUCUUGGAUUUAGAUAUUGGUUUUGAGAUCUAUAUAAAUAUAGUGUAUGCUGAGCGGCACAUUUAACAUUGUUAUUGCCUUAUUUCUGUUUUUAAACUGUUUAACUUCCGCAAGUUUUGGUUAUCUUCCGCAACUUUAGGCUUACCUAGUCGUAUAGACUAGGUUCCAUCACGAUGGUUCAUGGAAGGCGAACCGGGGUCGUGACAAGUUGGUAUUCAAGCUCUAGGUUCAUAGGAGUCAUAGAUCAUAAGCCGGUUAAUUAGAGUCUCGCUGAUCAGUACGGAGACGUCUGUACUUAUCUACGAGAGUCUAUAUAACUGUUAGGAAAAUUUCUACUUCAUUUAAUUUCCUUGUCAUGCGAUAUUUCGACAUCACAAUUCUAAACUUCUGUUUUCUAUUCUCUCACAGAUGGUGAGGACACGUGCUACUCGAGAUGAUCAAGCACCCGUGCCCCCUACUGCAGCCGUCAGAGGCCGGGACCGGGGUAGAGGCUGAGGACGCGCACGUGGUGCAGUCAGAGCACAUGCACGAGCUACCACCAAGGUAGCACCUGCAGUUCCAGCCGAAGUCCAGGCACCUGACAUGCCUACUGCUACUACUACUCCAGCUCUUCAAGAGACUCUGGCAGAGUUCAUGAGCAUGUACACCACUUUCGCUCAGGUAGGGUUGGUUCCCCUUGCUGCAGCUAAGUCCUAGGAUGGGGGAGGAGCAUAGACUCUCGUCGCUUGCACUCCUGAGCAGCGAGUGCAUGGUGAGAAGGUCCCUGAGAUUAUUCAUGUACCACCUGCAAUG